AAAUCUUUAAAAAAAAAACCAGAGGAGGAAAUAAAUGCCUUUCCCCGUGACUCUCUUGGCUUAUUCACCUCCUGGAAAAAAGCAGUUAGCCCUUGUCCACGCAUCUAAUAGAGAUCAACCUGGCGUUUCACUCAGCAUUUCAGCCACUGUGGGGUCCAUUCCCAGGGUCUCUAAUGCGUGCAACUUCAAGCCUCAAGGUGCCUUCUAACCCUCCUUUGUCUAGGAUGUCUUUCCUUUCUCUUCCCUCCUUUUUCUCCUCCCUGCUUUUCCUCACAUCACCCAGACCUCCCAGUGGUUCCCACCCACACCCCAAGGUCUUCACACAACUAGAAAGAUGGCUGCCUCCCGGCUCACACUAAACGGACACAACACAGACCAUGAAUUCACCAAAAGAAGUGUCUUUCCUUUCGAGAAGUCACUACCUCGCUUCCCCAACGAGUGAGCGCCAGACUUAGAAAGAAGAAUUGGGAAAAAUGUCCGUGUGUAACUGAAAGAGCUCAGUGGCCCGCAGGUUAGCCUCCAGGAAAUUUCGUCACAGCAUCACGGCUCAGGAAAAUAACUUCAGCAACCUCUUGGAGCUGAUGAGUGAUGUGAUUUGACCUCUAGGCAGCAUUCAUUUCCAGAAAUCAUUUGUUUAAAAAACAAAUAAGAAUCGCCUGCUUUCUGAAGGCCAGAUCCAGGUGUAGAGGAUACGGGACUAAAACAGACAGACAGUAUUUCUGCCCUCGCAAAACCUACCCUCUAAUAGGGACCACAGAUAAUAUACGUGUAAAUAAAAUUAAAUAAAUUAAGAGUUAGUCUGAGGCAAGAAAGGAAUCCCAGUGGUUAGAAAAUAGAGCAACUUCUUUCUUUCUUUGCCCCAUUUGAGCAACCCCUCUCUCCUCCUCAGUUCAGGCUGGGGCCCACGUCCCUGCGCGGCAGGCCGGUGAGGUCUUCCCGUUUCCUGCAUCUCGUGCGAAGGAGCAUUCAGGAGGUGGACAACAAGGGUUUUAUUCAACUUGAUCAUCUCCUCAAAAGAAAAAAAAGAGACAGAAAGAAAAAGUUGGGAGAGGCCAGACUAAAUGGAUAUGAUCUGAAUGCAUAUUUGUGUUACAACUAAUACAACCAGCAUCAGAGAGGGACCAAGAUCAAAUAAAUGGUAAAACCUGACAAAGAGAAGAAUAGAUGGCAUGUGGAGCCAUCUGUUUU
rnacentral:lncRNA from 1 species